rnacentral:rRNA from 1 species
GACGAACGCUGGCGGCGUGCCUAAUACAUGCAAGUCGAACGCUUCCUACCGGUGCUUGCACCGGGAAAGAAGAGUGGCGGACGGGUGAGUAACACGCGGGUAACCUACCUACAAGCGGGGGCUAACAUUCGGAAACGGAUGCUAAUACCGCAUAGAUCUUUUUGUCUCCUGGCAGAAAGAAGACAGACGGUUUCGGCUGUCACGUGUAGAUGGACCCGCGGCGCAUUAGUUAGUUGGUGAGGUAAUGGGUCACCAAGACGAUGAUGCGUAGCCGACCUGAGAGGGUGAUCGGCCACACUGGGACUGAGACACGGCCCAGACUCCUACGGGAGGCAGCAGUAGGGAAUCUUCCGCAAUGGACGAAAGUCUGACGGAGCAACGCCGCGUGAGUGAAGAAGGUUUUCGGAUCGUAAAACUCUGUUGUUAGAGAAGAACAAGGAUGAGAGUAACUGCUCGUCCCUUGACGGUAUCUAACCAGAAAGCCAUGGCUAACUACGUGCCAGCCGCCGCGGUAA